rnacentral:tRNA from 1 species
GCCCUCGUAGCUCAACGGAUAGAGCUCCGCACUCCUAAGGCGGAGAUGGAGGUUCGAUUCCUCCCGAGGGCG